AUGCUGCCGUGGCUCGGGAGAGGACGGAGCCUCUUCCAACGCAACCAAACCGCUGAAGCCGCAGCCCGAGCGUUGCCCAAGCCCUGGUACCCGGCCCAGCCGAGCAGGCAGGGAUGCUGGGGCUGCCCCAGCCUCGCUGGUGGGGUGCUCCAGGACAGGGCAGGAACACGAGCGGUGAUGGAUGAACACAGGGCAGGCGAGAAGAAAGGGGCAGACGGGCAGGGACGGGCAGCGACUGCCCCAAAACUAGGGCACGGCUCCGGAGACGACGGGAGACGUCUCCCCGGGCACCACCCACGCGGGGUGAGGGAGAGGAGCCAGGCUUGCCCCACGUGUGACAGCCACCCCACGCGACCCACGCCGGCCCCACAGGCAGGGCUGGGCAGGCAGCACGAGCCCCAAGCCCUGCUGCAAAUCCCGGAGAGCCGCCGGGGUUCCCACCCACGCUCCAUCCCUCCUCCUCCUCUGCUUCCCCCCCGGGGGCAUGGGGUUCCCGACGGCUGGGUGAGGCUUCUUGGCCCUGCAGGGACUUUUUGGCUGCUCGGUGGCUCUGGGAACAGCCAGGACCUCGCAGAUCUCCUGCCCCUGCCUGCCUGGACCCCGCUCUCCGUGCAGGGCACGGCUGCACCCAGCGCACCCCGACAUCUGCCCCAGCCUCGGCCCCGGGGAGACGGGCGAGCCAGUCAGACCGGGCGAGGAGCCGGCCUCACCUGGGAAGCAUGGGGAGACCAGUGCUCCCAGUUACCUCCCCAGCAGGUCAGGACGAGGGCCCUUCAUCUCCCAAGCCUUUGCCCUAGUUAUUUGCAUUCCUGUCCCCACACCCUGCCCGUAGCGGCGGGGAUCGGGAUGCCUAUUAGGGCGCAGCGAGGCGCUGCCCUGGCUGCAGGGAGCGCAGGGGAGGUGAAGUGGCCGAGCCAGAAGGGAAAAAAGGGCUCAGCAGGGCCAGCCUCCGAGGCUGAACCCGAUCCCACACACAUUUGGGGUGCAUUUGGGGCAGGGCAGAUGAGAGGACGGGGCUGGAGGGUCCCCACUGCACACGCAGACACCGAGCUGGGUCGGUGCCCAUGCUCGAUGCUGCUACAUCCAUGCUGGCGUCUGAGGCUGUGA
rnacentral:lncRNA from 1 species